rnacentral:rRNA from 1 species
UACGUAGGGCGCAAGCGUUGUCCGGAAUUAUUGGGCGUAAAGAGCUCGUAGGCGGCUUGUCGCGUCGACAUGUGAAAACCCGUGGCUCAACCAUGUGGUCUGCAGUCGAUACGGGCAGGCUAGAAUUCGGUAGGGGAGACUGGAAUUCCUGGUGUAGCGGUGAAAUGCGCAGAUAUUAGGAGGAACACCGGUGGCGAAGGCACGACUCUGGCGGCAAACUGACGCUGAGGAGCGAAAGCGUGGGGAGCGAACAGG